CUUAAUUAUGCUAAUUUGAUUUUAAUGAUUUAGCAAAUUUCUGUUUGUUCUUAAUGAUGAUUUAAAAAUAGCCAGAGGUACUUUCAGUUUAGGCACAGUUUUGUUUAAUAUUAUUGUUGCUGUAACUACACUCUUUUAACUUUUAAUCACUCUCAGUCUGCCUUAUUCCACACACAACUUGGGGCUAAUGUGUAAGGCUAACUCCUUAGAUCCGAGCAGUGCAUUAAGCCUGCAUGUGAGGGAGCCCUGCCUCUUGUCAUUCAAACAUCUCACAGUCCAUAGAAAUCUCCUUUCUUGGCAUUGCCUGCAUGCUGAGCAGCAUGCUAGGAAACUUCAGCACAGGUAUGUCUCUGUGGGGUCACUCCCGGAAGGGUUACCAUCAGAAGUCAUAAACAGAAAGUAAUUAGAUGACAGCAUCUUUGUUUUCUACAGUUUUGAUUCUUUGGAAGAAAAAUUGUCAGUCCAUCACAAAUGAAAUCCCCUAAACGUCUUGUCUACUCUGAUUAUUAUACUUGAGCUCUCCACAGUAUCUGGGUCAAGCAUGUUAUCACCAUAACAUCAGAUGAUAUAUGACAACCAAUAGUUAUUAUUGAGAUGCUCUGAACAUGGGAUGUUUUGUUUAGUAGCUUCCUGUCUGCCGCAAGAUAUCCUGUGCUCACAUGCCGUGUAAAGUGAUAGACAUAUACUGAAGCAUUACACAUCCACAAGGGAGCCAUCCUUACUUCAAUUACUGAUACAGAUGGAUCUAGAUUCUUAGCAUCUGAACUCAGAGUGCCCUGUGUUGGACAGCUUAGUGUAACAGCUGCAGAUAUUGUUGUUGUUUUCACAGCUAUGCAAGCAUCAGUUCAUUGACUUUUUAACCUGAUGGGACUCUUGAGGCAGUCAGUUUGGGGUUGAUCCCAGAUCUUCCAUUUCCGGCACCAUCAUUUGGGGAAGUCAACUUACCCUUUUUCCAUCAAUGUCUUUAUCUGGAAAUUGGAAUAACACUUAUGACCACAAAGAAGGAAAGCUUGCUGAGAGUGUACAGUGAUAAAGCAAGAUGCCAUGGCUUAGAAUAAAAGGAAAGAAGGUGGAAGAGUGAGAAGGGUGAGAAGUAUCCAUGGCUCAGCCCAUUUUGUAAGUGCUGUCUUCUUCCAUUUGAGAUACUGUAGCAAAGUAACAUAGACUAGGAUUUGUUCCGUAAAAGGAUUUCUUUACUCCCAAGCAGAUGUGUGUCUUCCAUUGGAGACUGCAGAAAAUAGAGAGAGCUUCCUGCAUGCAGAAUGAGGCAUCUUUUAGAAGGGCCCUAACCCUGUUAAUAAGGAUCGAGGAAGGAGACCCUUAAGGCUCAUUCACAUCUGAAAGUCAUCACCUCUUAAUGAUGUCACAUUGGCAAGGGACACAGUUAGAACACAGCCCUGUCCUUGGCAAAUAUCUUAGAUGAGAGAAUCGAAGCCACUCUCUGCUUCUUCUGCUCAGCACAGUCUUGUGUGUGUCUGGUGUGGACAAGGCAAUGUGGCUGGGUGACAGUGGGAUUGUCUCUCAAAA
rnacentral:lncRNA from 1 species